rnacentral:rRNA from 1 species
AUUGAACGCUGGCGGCAUGCCUUACACAUGCAAGUCGAACGGUAACAGGUCUUCGGAUGCUGACGAGUGGCGAACGGGUGAGUAAUACAUCGGAACGUGCCCGAUCGUGGGGGAUAACGCAGCGAAAGCUGUGCUAAUACCGCAUACGAUCUCUGGAUGAAAGCGGGGGACCUGCAAGGGCCUCGCGCGAUUGGAGCGGCCGAUAUCAGAUUAGCUAGUUGGUGGGGUAAAAGCUCACCAAGGCGACGAUCUGUAGCUGGUCUGAGAGGACGACCAGCCACACUGGAACUGAGACACGGUCCAGACUCCUACGGGAGGCAGCAGUGGGGAAUUUUGGACAAUGGGCGCAAGCCUGAUCCAGCAAUGCCGCGUGCAGGAUGAAGGCCUUCGGGUUGUAACUGCUUUUGUACGGAGCGAAAAGGCUCUCUCUAAUACGGGGAGUUCAUGACGGUACCGUAAGAAUAAGCACCGGCUAACUACGU